rnacentral:rRNA from 1 species
UACGUAGGGUGCAAGCGUUAAUCGGAAUUACUGGGCGUAAAGCGUGCGCAGGCGGCAUGUCAAGUCAGAUGUGAAAUCCCCGGGCUUAACCUGGGAACUGCGUUUGAAACUAGCAUGCUAGAGUUUAGGAGAGGGGGGUGGAAUUCCACGUGUAGCAGUGAAAUGCGUAGAUAUGUGGAGGAACACCGAUGGCGAAGGCAGCCCCCUGGCCUAAAACUGACGCUCAUGCACGAAAGCGUGGGGAGCAAACAGG